CACAGAUGGAUACAGGCCUUAAAAAGGGAAAAAAAGCAUCAUUUCUUCAGCGAAUCAUGAGUGAGAUGCUGAAUGGAGACGGGAGCAGGUGCAGCUCUCUCCUUAAAUGGAAACGAGCCACGUCAUGUGACGUAGCAAGCUGCCAACAACACAAGCAGCAUCACCAGCAAAAUGGAGGCAGGUCAGGCUUAGAGGAGCAGCUCCAGCAUCACACGACAGUAUGAUGCUUUUGAAAUAUUAAACCGCGUUAGGACCAUGAGAUUUCACGCUAGCUUGGAGUAAGAACUCGCAGAAUCAGAAAGCAGCCAGAAACCUAGUUCGUCUCACGUAGCAGGCCACUUCCUGCGGAGGGUGACAUGGACUCCUCCUGCACCCUGAACGAGGGGAGAACUUCUCCCCCAAACUCUCUCCUCAUUGGUGGAGCCGGAGGA